rnacentral:rRNA from 1 species
CGUAGGGUCCAAGCGUUGUCCGGAAUUAUUGGGCGUAAAGAGCUCGUAGGCGGUCCGUCAAGUCGGAAGUGAAAUCUCAAGGCUCAACCUUGAAAUCGCUUUCGAUACUGGCGGACUUGAGGCAGGUAGGGGAAGGUGGAAUUCCUGGUGUAGCGGUGAAAUGCGCAGAUAUCAGGAGGAACACCGGUGGCGAAGGCGGCCUUCUGGGCCUGUUCUGACGCUGAGGAGCGAAAGCGUGGGGAGCAAACAGGAUUAGAUACCCUGGUAGUCCACGCCGUAAACGAUGGGUGCUAGGUGUGGGGGGUUUCCACUCCCUCCGUGCCGUAGCUAACGCAUUAAGCACCCCGCCUGGGGAUUACGACCGCAAGGUUA